rnacentral:rRNA from 1 species
UACAGAGGUCCCGAGCGUUGUUCGGAUUCAUUGGGCGUAAAGGGUGCGUAGGCGGUCUUCUAAGUUUGAUGUGAAAUCCCGGGGCUCAACCCUGGAAUUGCAUUGAAUACUGGAGGACUAGAGUACCGGAGAGGAAACUGGAAUUUACGGUGUAGCAGUGAAAUGCGUAGAGAUCGUAAGGAAGACCAGUGGCGAAGGCGAGUUUCUGGACGGUAACUGACGCUGAGGCGCGAAAGCGUGGGGAGCAAACAGG